GGUUCGGGGCGGCGCAGCCCCGCGCGGUUGUGGGAUCGCUCCCGGGGGCCGCUCCUCUCUCGGGCACUGGGGUCGCGGGAGACGUCGUCGGGAGCUCGGUUUCUGGAGGCCCUUCCCCACCCGGCCUCUGCCUCCUCCACUCCCCCGGGCUGGACGGAACGGGGCCCAGCGCGGGAUGCGAGGCUGGAGGGCAGUGGCGCAAUCUCGGCUCACUGCAGCCUCGAACUCCUAGGCUGAAGCGAUUCUCCCGCCUCAGCCUCCAAAGUAGCCGGUACUACAGGCGCGCGCCACCACGCCUGGCUAAGAAAUAACCAUGGAUAUGGGUAGAGACAGAGCCAUAUGGAAUGCACACUGCAGUGGUGAACACAUGGCCCAGCUCUGCCAUCAAGGAGAAGGAACAUGAAUGGAGCUGGAGGCCAUCAUCCUUAGUGAACUAACACAGGAGCAGAAAACCAAAUACCACAUGUUCUCAUGUGUAAGUGGGAGCUA
rnacentral:lncRNA from 10 species